ACUCUGUUGCUUGAGUCAAUCUGUUGCGCUAUUCACCCCAUAUCUGUACUUUUCAGAAUGGACAAGGUGACCUACUUAUACUAAAAUGUAAGCCUGUAUUUAAGCAGUAUAAGCAAUACUUAAAUAUAUUACUGCCCUUAGAUCAAAGCUAUAUGCAUUAGUACCUCUAUGUUCUGGAGUAAUCAAAGAUCCGCUUAGACGAGCCUAUAUGGAAGAGCUAGAACAUAUGUGCUACAUGCUAUAGUUAGUAGUUGUAGAUGGGUGUGGUUUUGAUAGGGAUUCAC
rfam:Bat coronavirus 1A, complete genome